CCGCCAGAGGACCCAAAACCCUGAAUUAUUAGUGUCGUCUGAGUAAAAUAUUUAAUAUUUAAAACUUUCAACAACGGAUCUCUUGGCUCUGGCAUCGAUGAAGAACGCAGCCAAAUGCGAUAAGUAAUGUGAAUUGCAGAAUUCAGUGAAUCAUCGAAUCUUUGAACGCACAUUGCGCCCCUUGGUAUUCCGAGGGGCAUGCCUAUUCUAGCGUCAUUAUCACCCCUCAAGCCUAGCUUGGUGUUGAGGCCUGCUGUAAGGGCAGCCUCUAAAAUCAGUGGCAGUGCUGUCAGGCUCUAAGCGUAGUAAAAUUCAUCGCUAUAGACACCUGGUGGACACUCGCCAGAACCCCCCCCAUUUUUUAAUGAUUGACCUCGGAUUAGGUAGGGAUACCCGCUGAACUUAAGCAUAUCAAUAAGCGGAGG
rnacentral:rRNA from 1 species